AUGAUGUCACUGAGAACUGCCGUAGACUACCUGCUGUACAGAUUUCCUUACAUUGACCAGAUUUGAGGGUGACACUUUCAGAAGAGUCUCCUGUUUAAGAGUGGAAACCUUUACAUACUAAAUCUCUCUAAAGGACCUUUUAUACUUGACAAAAAGAGUGAAGGUCAUGAUGCCUAAUGAUGAUGUCACUGAAAACUCUCAUGGACUACCUGAUGAACAACUUUCCUUACAUUGACAAGAUUCAAGUUUGCACUUUAAAGGCUCCACCAAGGGACGACUGACACUGAAGCAGACGCGCACGGUCAAAUAUCAAAUGGAGCUCAGUGAGUCUCACUGAAGAGCUGAGGGAAGGACUGAGAGAGGCAGA